GGUUUUCCGAAGGAAAAAACUGGUUAUUAGAUUGGCGAAUGCGGGCGGGCUGGCUGGCUGGCGGGCUGGCUGGCUGGCGGGCUGGCGGAAUAAGCUUGUCCGGGCCAUAACUAUGUCGUUCAUUGUCAGAUUUUAAAAUCAUUUGGCACAUUUGUUCACCAUCAUUGGACGGUGUGUCGCGCGAAAUAAUUACGUCGAUAUCUCCAAGGUCAAGGUCACACUUUGAGUUCAAAGGUCAAAAAUGGCCAUAAAUGAGCUUGUCCUGGCCAUAACUAUGUCAUUCAUUGUGAGAUUUUAAAAUCAUUUGGCACAUUUGUUCACCAUCAUGGGACGGUGUGUCCCACGAAAGAAUCACGUCAAUAUCUCCAAUGUCAAGGUCGCCACGACUAAAAAUAGAUUUAAAAAAAAAAAAAAACUUACAAAGGGGGUUAAUUUUUUUUGGUCAUUUCAAAAGUUCAGUUUUCUCUCUUUAUCAGAUUUUUUUUUCACAAUGAAAACCUGGUUUUGUGACAAUUUUGUCCGUUGUCUUGGAUUGUCCUUGGUUUGGAUGUCUGAAACAGAUAUUGUUUUUGGCUUUCUAAAAAAUGGAUGUGUUGGUACCUGAUGAAACCUGUGGAAAGUUUAUGAAGCUAUACUUAUCAGGAAAGCAGUUUGUCAUUACUAUAUAUUUAUAAUAUAUUUGAACUGAUUUUUAUGUCCCCCACCCACUAUAGUGGGGGACAUAUUGUUUUUGCCCUGUCUGUUGGUUUGCGCCAACUUUAACAUUUGCAAUAACUUUUGCAAUAUUGAAGAUAGCAACUUGAUAUUUGGCAUGCAUAUGUAUCUCAUGGAGCUGCAAAUUUUGAGUGGUGAAAGGGCAAGGUCAUCCUUCAAGGUCAAAGGUCAACAAAAAAAAUCAAAGCGGCGCAGAAGGGGACAUAGUGUUUCUGACAAACACAUUUCUUGUUGUUUUUGGUGUUGAUGAUGCUCCUUUCACAUUUAAUAUAAUUUAAUGUUGUUCUUGUAAAGAUUGGUCGUGUUGGUAAGUCCGCAUACAAUUCUACAAGUUUGUAAAGUGAACUACUUACAAAGUUUUUAAGUUAUUGAUUUGAAUUCGAUAAAUAUACGAUCAUUAUUAAGUAUAGGCGUGCACGACAUCAUGUUCUUCGUCCUCAGUGACCCACACUUGUAAGUCUUCCCGGACAUAUCUGGAAUAUAUUUGAGUCGAGUUCCGUGAAAAGGGGAUAAUUGUGCGUAAAGUGUCGUCCCGGAUUACCCUGUGCAGUCCGAAUAGGCUAAUCAGGGACGACCAGGGCCGUACCCAGGAAUUGUUGACUGGGGGGGCCCAAACGGAGAGGGUGCGGGAGGGGUUGCCCCUCCCUAAUAGAUUUUUUUUAUUAGGCACUGUUCAAGGUGAAUUUUAAUGCAUAUAGAAACAUAUGUUGUGUUAUAAAUUAUGGAUAUAUAACAAGUAAAUCAGCACCUUUCUGAAGUCUAAAGCUUUAACCAUUACGGGCCGUCCAUAAAGUAUGUCACGCUCCAGGUGGGGGGAGGAUGCGUAAGUAAGUGACAGUUUGCGACAUGGGGGAGGGGAGUCAGGCCAUGUGUGAUGUCACACAUUUAUUAAAAAAAUAUUGUAUAAUUUAUUUAUUAUUUCUUUAGUAAAAUUUAAAAAUAAUUUUCAAAAAUUUGUAAAACAUUUCAAUUAGUUUUAUGUCAAAAUAAGACGAAUUGCGUAUCUCCUGAUUCUGUUGUUCGAAUGUUUAAUAGGCAACUUGACUGGGCCGGCUUAUUCAAUAGGCACAACCACCACACAGAUUUCAAUGACGAAAUAAUUGGACUGUUCCAUUUUUAGUUAGUAAAGGGUUGAAAGAAAAUCUAAAUUAUAAUUUUGUUUUUAUUAGAGGUUAACACGUGGAUAAAUAUUCAUACUGCUCAUCGUAACAACCCUACAGUUAUAAAAGCCUGUAAUGUGAAAGUUUUUUUACCAGUAAGUGAAAUUUUAAUACGGUUUAAUAGUGAAUUGAGUUUUAGAUAAAAUUUAAAUUAAGUAUUAACUUUAAAAAAAAUGUUCGAAAGUGUGAGUUUGUGACGUACUUUAGGGAAGGGGGUCAAAGAUUUUGUAACAGUUUGUGACAUGCCGGGGAAAAAAUGGUAAAAAAAGCGUGACAUGCUUUAUCAACGACCCCUUGGUGUGAAAUUCACACUCAUGUUUAAAGCGUUAGAUUUCAGAAAUGUAUUACACUUUAUUAAGAAGUAAAAGCAACCUUUGAAACUAAAAAACCUUUAUUAUGAAAUGUAACAUAAAGUAUGACUGUAGAGGAAGUUUGAUUUCAAAGAGAAAAUACUACUAUGGUUAUAUGUCAGUAACUGACAUAUAACCUACUAGUAUUUUCUCUUUGAAAUCAAACCUCCUCUAUAGGCCAGUUCAUUGUUAUUGUUUUGAUUCCCGAUUUUCGCGCAUGCGCAAUGCACUGGUAGUCAAAAAGCAUUGCUUACAGCUAACGCAAAGCAUAUGGAUAACGAGACUUGUUUAGUCAAUACAUCGAAAAGAAACUUAAAAAACAACACCUAAAUAAUAUUUAAAAAAUAUAAUGUUCAGUGCCAAAAGAAUGCAUUAACACAUUUAUUUGCAUUUUAAAAGAACGCGUCAUUAGCAUAAAAGUAAUUCAGAUUGUCUGAAGACUGAACGACAGACAAUUCGACGCAACAAAGAGCUCUAUGCAUUAGCCGUAUAAUUAUUUGCAGAAAAGCUUCAAUAAAAAUAAUGAUACAUCUAAUUAUAAAAUUAUAAUUAUCAAUUGCAUGCGUAAACUAGAAUAAUAAAAAAUUAGUGAUAGCCAGAAUGUGUCAGUGUUUCAUUGAAAAUAAACGUACUACAAAGCCCUAUUAAAAACGAAGUUCAUGACGGUAUUUACAUGUAAUUUUAAUUUGGAUGAGUGUUGUUCAGAGAAUGACUUGAAGAAUAUUAACAUUUAACUGAAAAACACAACCUCACAUGAUGCAAAUUGAACUGUGUAUUCAUGUAUUUUGUAAACUCGUUACUAGUGAUCGAGUAUGAGUGACAAUUAUCUAACAUUUAACACACACGCACAAACACACACACACACACACACACACACACACACAACAUAAUAUAUAUACAUAUAUAAUAUAAUAUUAAACAUUGUUUCAUUAUUAUUUACCCCCAUUGAUGUCAAACGUAAUUUCUUGUUUUAUGAUGUAUUUCGUGCAUUGCCGUAACAUUACAUCUUCAUACUGAAUGACGUAUUUAUAAUUAACCGAUGCCCGCUAAAUACGUUAAAUAUUUUUUAUUUACAUUUUAUAAUUCAUAAAUACUUUAUUUUUUUAUAAAUAAAACGGGCCUUUUUCUUUACCGUGUUCAAUUUCUGAUAAUCUAUAGACUUCAAAUUUGUACAAUAAUUAUGUAACAUAUCUAAUUUAAGCAACUGUUAAGUAUGUCGGUGGUAAAUUUAUUCAACCAAAUGCCUAGUUACUUAAUACUACCAGAAUGAAGACAUGGUGGCAUCAUCAAUUGCAUUUAAUGACCAGACUGUCAUCUGCCACCUAGUGUGAUUUAUGACACCAUGUUGUUAGUUAGGUCUGGACAAUAUCUGAUCAAAACGAGAUAAUCGGAUUAGGCAGAACAAAGGGGCAAUAAAACACCGGUAUACAAAGGCUUAAACGAUUUUAAGAUAGAUGCAAACAAUCAAAUGAAAACUAUUGCAUUUAAUUUAAUUAAAUGUUUAUUUAAUGUGUCAACAUGUUAGUUUUCCCGGACCAGGGUAAAGGUCCCUGCCCAGACAUUAUGGUUAAUUUGUAAAUGUUUUUUAUUUGGAUUUGAUCUAUUUAUUCAUUGUGUUCAAUCUUAUUUGUUUCAGUAACAUAGAACAACUUGUUGGCAUGUUGAAAAAUAAAAUCAAAAUAUAAUCGUUUAAAUUAAACCGAUCACGCUCUAUUUCUCCCCAUUGAUUGUAUCUUUCUUUUGACUACCAAUAUAGCCCGGAUGUAAACACGCAGGUGCGCGUGACGUCACGCGUGAACUGGUCUAUAUAAAAUUUCAAAGUAAAUUCAUUAUAACAUGUUAAUCAUCUACAAGACAGUUAUCACAGAAAUGUUUAAUAAGCUAUGACUCUAGAGGAGGUUUGAAUUCAAAAGAAAAACACUAUUAUCGUUCAGACCUACGACCUUCUGUAUCAGUUCCAUCCAUUCGCUGUUUCUCUUUCCUUGUCCAAUCAAAAUACGUGUUUCACCCACCAUCAAAAGAUGAAGCAUUGAGAACAAUAGGAAAUUGACAGAUCGGGGAUGUGUGUACAAGGUGAUAAGAAAAUAAUGCCUAGGGGCUUAUUUCCACUGGCGAGUAAAUUAGCGCUAAUCCCCUUGUGUAUCAGGGGCAAUAAAACAAAUCUGCACAUUUGUAUUGGAGGGAAGUGUACUGUGGGCCCUUUCAUGUGAGAAAAUUUGCAGUAGGCCCAUUAUUAAAAAAUCAUAACUUGACAGCCAGCUGGGGGGCCCGGGCCCCUGGGCCCAGUGCCUGGGUACGGGCCUGGACGACACUUCCCGCCUAAACUGGAUUUUGCUAAGAAGAGACUUUAUUGAAACGAAAAUAUAAAAGCGGAAAGUGUCGUCCCUGAUUAGCCCGUGCGGACUGCACAGGCUAAUCUGUGACGACACUUUACGCACAAGCAUUAAAACCUCUUUUCACAGAGCAGGGCCCUUAUGUUUUUGACAAUACGGAGCUCGAGUAAGUCAUGUUUGUGGCAAAUUUAUAAUUUGAUUUGUCGUGGGGGGGGGGGGGGGGGGCUGGAUGUGUUAGGAGAAAACACGUGCUAAUUGAGCGACGUCGGCAAUCAUUACCCAGCUAGGACAGCAUAGACGUCUUCAAACUAGGUGAAGGUUACGUAUAUUAAAUAAUUGACAUUUGCAAUGGUGUACUCUCAACAAAUAAGAAAAUUUAUAUAGUUAAAAGACUCUGGUUGUUAUUUUUUGCGACCUUUGUGCAAGAAAAGCAUUACUGUUAACUGACAAAUCACUUUAAAAUGGGACUACAGAGGGAAACUUGCCUAAAGUCGGGUCACACUCAACUAAAAAGUAGUCGGAACACCGUUGUAAAAACAAGUAUUUUAUAAGUGGCUAUUUCUUUCUUACACAUCAAACCUUAAAUUUAUCUCUUUCAUAUGAAAUUGCCUACAUUAUUCUGUUGAAUAUAUAUAGAGCUGAGAAUGCUCGUAAAGAAAAGGUAUGGUGCACAAAAUUUUGACUAUGUUUUACUUAAGUUGAAGAGUUGACAUUAAAGUACAUGAAUAUU